rnacentral:rRNA from 1 species
AUUGAACGCCGGCGGCAUGCCUUACACAUGCAAGUCGAACGGCAGCACGGGUGCUUGCACCUGGUGGCGAGUGGCGAACGGGUGAGUAAUACAUCGGAACGUGCCCAGUAGUGGGGGAUAGCCCGGCGAAAGCCGGAUUAAUACCGCAUGAGACCUGAGGGUGAAAGCGGGGGAUCGCAAGACCUCGCGCUAUUGGAGCGGCCGAUGUCAGAUUAGCUAGUUGGUAGGGUAAAGGCCUACCAAGGCAACGAUCUGUAGUUGGUCUGAGAGGACGACCAGCCACACUGGGACUGAGACACGGCCCAGACUCCUACGGGAGGCAGCAGUGGGGAAUUUUGGACAAUGGGCGCAAGCCUGAUCCAGCAAUGCCGCGUGCAGGAAGAAGGCCUUCGGGUUGUAAACUGCUUUUGUCAGGGAAGAAAUCUUCUGGGCUAAUACCCUGGGAGGAUGACGGUACCUGAAGAAUAAGCACCGGCUAACUACGUGCCAGCCGCCGCGGUAACAC